AUGCUUGGAAGCAUCGACUGCAUGCAUUGGAAAUGGAAAAACUGUCCAUUUGCUUGGCAGGGGAUGUACAAAGGCGCCAAAGGUGGUUGCAGUGUGGUACUUGAGGCAGUGGCCACACAGGACCUCUGGAUUUGGCACUUCUUCUUUGGUAUGCCAGGAACUCACAAUGACAUCAACGUGCUGCAGUGCUCCCCUGUCUUUGCCAAGCUUGUUGAAGGUCAUUCUCCUCCGGUGAACUUCGAGGUCAAUGGGCGGCACUACAACAAGGGAUACUACCUAGCAGAUGGCAUCUAUACGAGAUGGUCUACAUUUGUGAAGACUAUCUCAAACCCUGUGCCAUGA
rnacentral:rRNA from 1 species